AGUGAACGCUGGCGGCAGGCCUAACACAUGCAAGUCGAGCGGCAGCGGGUCCUUCGGGAUGCCGGCGAGCGGCGGACGGGUGAGGAAUGCAUCGGAAUCUGCCCUGUCGUGGGGGAUAACCUAGGGAAACUUAGGCUAAUACCGCAUACGACCCACGGGUGAAAGCGGGGGAUCGCAAGACCUCGCGCGAUAGGAUGAGCCGAUGUCCGAUUAGCUAGUUGGCGGGGUAAAGGCCCACCAAGGCGACGAUCGGUAGCUGGUCUGAGAGGAUGAUCAGCCACACUGGGACUGAGACACGGCCCAGACUCCUACGGGAGGAAGCAGUGGGGAAUAUUGGACAAUGGGCGCAAGCCUGAUCCAGCCAUGCCGCGUGGGUGAAGAAGGCCUUCGGGUUGUAAAGCCCUUUUGUCCGGGAAGAAAUCGUCUGGGCUAAUACCCCGGGCGGAUGACGGUACCGGAAGAAUAAGCACCGGCUAACUUCGUG
rnacentral:rRNA from 1 species